AAUGAACGCUGGCGGCAUGCCUUACACAUGCAAGUCGAACGGCAGCAUGACCUAGCUUGCUAGGUUGAUGGCGAGUGGCGAACGGGUGAGUAAUGCAUCGGAACGUGCCUUUUAGUGGGGGAUAACGUAGCGAAAGUUACGCUAAUACCGCAUAUUCUCUGAGGAGGAAAGCAGGGGACCUUCGGGCCUUGCGCUAGAAGAGCGGCCGAUGUCGGAUUAGCUAGUUGGGGAGGUAAAGGCUCACCAAGGCAACGAUCCGUAGCGGGUCUGAGAGGAUGAUCCGCCACACUGGGACUGAGACACGGCCCAGACUCCUACGGGAGGCAGCAGUGGGGAAUUUUGGACAAUGGGCGCAAGCCUGAUCCAGCCAUGCCGCGUGAGUGAAGAAGGCCUUCGGGUUGUAAAGCUCUUUCGGCUGGGAAGAAAUCGCACCCUCUAAUACAGGGUGUGGAUGACGGUACCAGCAUAAGAAGCACCGGCUAACUACGUG
rnacentral:rRNA from 1 species